rnacentral:rRNA from 1 species
GAUGAACGCUAGCUACAGGCCUAACACAUGCAAGUCGAGGGACCGGCGCACGGGUGAGUAACACGUAACCAACCUGCCCUUUACUCGGGGAUAGCCUUUCGAAAGAAAGAUUAAUACCCGAUAUAAAGGAUGGGGAUGCGUUCCAUUAGGUUGUUGGUGAGGUAACGGCUCACAAAGCCUUCGAUGGAUAGGGGUUCGGAGAGGAAGGUCCCCGACAUUGGAACUGCGACAAGGUCCAAACUCUUACCGGAGGCAGCGGUGAGGAAUAAAGGUCAAUGGGCGCUAGCCUGAACCAGCCAAGUAGCGUGAAGGAUGAAGGCUUAUAGGUCGUAAGCUUCUGUUAUAUAAGAAGAUGUAUUAUAUGAAUAAGGAUCGGCUAACUCCGUGCCAGCAGCCGCGGUAAUUC